UGUGGGAGCGGGCUUGCUCGCGAAUACGGUGGUUCAGUUAAAACAUCUGUGACUGACACACCGCAUUCGCGAGCAAGCCCGCUCCCACA
rnacentral:misc_RNA from 1 species